GUCCACCAAUAGCUCAGUUGGUUAGAGCAUGGUGCUGAUAAUGCCAAGGCUGCAGGUUUGAUACUUCUAAGGGACA